GUGACCAGUGCUUCCAGUUCACCCAGCUAGCCUCGUGCUCAGGGAAACAGCAGGGCCUACAUGUAAAAUGUGCCUGUGUGGGCACCUGCACAGCAUCUUCAGCCUGCACACACGUGCACACACAGUCUGAGCUGAGGUCUUGUUCUAGUAGCCCUGGAUGUAAGAACCCUAAUACUAACACUGGCUAGUCCUAUCAAACAACUCUGCUAACAUUUUAGGCUAAUGUGUUAUUGAUAAUGCUUUUUUUGAGGUAAGUCCUUCAUUUGGCACCAGAAUACAGACACUGAUAUUUGCACUGUCACAGGUAAUGACAGUGCUUUGAAUGGUUGUGUGAGGAAACAGCUGAUGCAUGUGGUAAGAGUAGAACACAGUCAAAGAGAAUCAGCAAAGCUGGGGUUUAAAUCUGGCUUAAAUGGUGAAGAUUGUUUCUGUCCAAGAGUAAUCAAAGGUUUUCACAACACGGAUCUGUAAAAUUUCUCAGGAUUUUGAUGCUGUCUGACAAGAUCUUUUACCCUGUGGUAAAGUGGAUACAUGCAAUGAUACAACAUGCUGAGAUCUAUUGAUAUUCUCAUUAGUACAGUAUGACUUCAAAGCCAUACCCAUAACUACUACAGAUGCUGUAGGAAUAGGCUCAAGUUAAUUAAUAAGUCUUAUUUUUCUGUCAGAUUUAAUAUGUACAUUAACUGCUUAUUCUGUAAAUCCCAUUUUCAUCUCUGUUCAGAAUGUUAAUGUAAUGAGUUUGCGUUGUUGGUUUUCCCCCCCAUCCUGCAGUAUUUGCUACAGCAAUAUGGGAAGAAAGAUCUUUCAAGCUCCCUUCUGUCCCAAGUGAGGAGAUGAACAACAAAUGGAUUCUAAAGGCAUGAAGUGUUCAGCACUGCUUGAUCUAAAACAGGACAUCUCAAUAUAUUUGAGUAUUUGAGUGCAUUUCUUCCUGUUGAAUCUGCAGUUCUUCCAGUUCAAUGUGGAAUUAGUCCCACUGAGUGUAUUGACACGAAUGUGGAGCACUCUUACAGCUAGCAAGACAAAAUCUCAGUAAAGAUCCUGAUAUACUGCUUCUGACCUUUUCAGGCAGAUGAUGGCUGAGACCUGAGCAUAUGGAUCCCCUGUUUGAAUAAAAGAAUGCUUCUGAGAAAAUCAGCAGAGUUUUGAGUGCUGACAUCCAAGGAGCUGCAGUUAUCAGUGGAAGUUUUGGGCCUUGAU